rnacentral:rRNA from 1 species
GACGGAGGGUGCUAGCGUUGUUCGGAAUCACUGGGCGUAAAGAGCGCGUAGGCGGUCCGAUAAGUCGGCUGUGAAAGUCAGGGGCUCAACCCUUGGAAGCCGGCCGAUACUGUCGGACUAGAGUCCGGAAGAGGCGAGUGGAAUUCCCGGUGUAGCGGUGAAAUGCGCAGAUAUCGGGAGGAACACCAAUGGCGAAGGCAGCUCGCUGGGACGGUACUGACGCUGAGGCGCGAAAGCGUGGGGAGCAAACAGGG